UCUGUUUGCUCAGAGCUUGUAGAGUUCAUAGAAUGAACGUCCUCACACACUCAUAUGAUUUGAUGUGCACGCAGCCAGGCGAGCCAGGCAUGAUGCAUGAGCCCCUUGUCAGAAAUGAAGAGACUGGGACUCGUAACACAGAACACUCCAAAGCUCCCGUGGCCGAGACUGAUGUCCAACUCGGGGCUUCUUGGUCCAAGGCUCACGUGCUCCAUCUCUGAGUGACAAACUCAAAUCAGGGGCGUCUCUGAGGCCCUUGUUUUGCUUACCUUUGCAAACCUUAGUUUGCUGGUCAGAAGAAUGGGGUGGAAUUUUCUGCCUGCAGAGGACAGGGACCUCUAAAGGCCUGGCUCCCCGACACGCCUGGAGACUGGCACACAGCAGGCCUUGCACCCGCCCGGUUCCGGCCCCGUCAGGCCAGGGCUGUGGGCCAGGCCAGCCUGCCUCUCAGAGAGCUCCCAGCUGGGGCUGAGCUCAGGGAAGGAGCCCAGGGAGCAGCGAGCGAGCGAGCAGCGGGCAGCACAACGGCCCCUUUGUGCCUGUUGCUAAGGGCCCGGCUGUAUUUACUCAGCCUCAGUAAACAGGAGGUGCUGGAGGCCCCGCUCUGUUAUGACAACUUAAAAAGCAUUUUCUUUCCUUCCUCAGGCUGCUCAUGCUCCAGGUGGCUCCAGAUGAAGAAUCUGGAACUUGCAAGGCCCCAGGGAGCAUGGGGGAAAUGUAGGAGACAAUGCUGUGUCUGCAGAUGGGCCUGGAACAACCGUAUGCCCCGUGCCCGGCAGCUGCCUCUCAGAAGGAAGCCGAGAGCCCCACGUGACCAUCCAUCAGCCUCGUGACAUCAAGCACGUUACUCAAUGUCUCUGGGCCUCAGGGUUCAUAAAUAGUACACCUUAUGGGGUUUCGGCAGUUAGUGAAUUCAUACUUUUUAAGCACUUAGCGUAGUGCCAGAAAUAAUCAUUACAUACAUUUCUCAAAUAAAACAAAUAUACUCUAAUGGGAUGAUGACAAUGAGAAUGGCAACUAUUACAAGAUGAAACUGUCUUGGAGAAAGCAAAACAGCUCAAGCCUGCAGACCUCAGAGAGUUCUUCCGCUGAGGUGCCUCUAGG
rnacentral:lncRNA from 1 species